rnacentral:rRNA from 1 species
UACGUAGGGUGCAGGCGUUAAUCGGAAUUACUGGGCGUAAAGCGUGCGCAGGCGGUUUGCUAAGACAGGUAUGAAAUCCCCGGGCUUAACCUGGGAACUGCGCUUGUAACUGGCAAGCUGGAGUGUGGCAGAGGGGGGUGGAAUUCCGACGUGUAGCAGUGAAAUGCGUAGAGAUGUGGAGGAACACCGAUGGCGAAGGCAGCCCCCUGGGCUAACACUGACGCUCAUGCACGAAAGCGUGGGGAGCGAACAGG